rnacentral:rRNA from 1 species
AGUGAACGCUGGCGGUAGGCCUAACACAUGCAAGUCGAACGGCAGCACAGUAAGAGCUUGCUCUUACGGGUGGCGAGUGGCGGACGGGUGAGGAAUACAUCGGAAUCUACUUUUUCGUGGGGGAUAACGUAGGGACACUUACGCUAAUACCGCAUACGACCUACGGGUGAAAGCAUGGGAUCUUCGGACCUUGCGCGAUUGAAUGAGCCGAUGUCGGAUUAGCUAGUUGGCGGGGUAAAGGCCCACCAAGGCGACGAUCCGUAGCUGGUCUGAGAGGAUGAUCAGCCACACUGGAACUGAGACACGGUCCAGACUCCUACGGGAGGCAGCAGUGGGGAAUAUUGGACAAUGGGCGCAAGCCUGAUCCAGCCAUACCGCGUGGGUGAAGAAGGCCUUCGGGUUGUAAAGCCCUUUUGUUGGGAAAGAAAAGCAGCAGGUUAAUACCUCGCUGUUCUGACGGUACCCAAAGAAUAAGCACCGGCUAACUUCGUG